AGGGUGAACGCCACCUUCCACAAGUCCUCCAGGUCCUGAAGAAGUCUGCUCUUUACCUGGGCAGUGUGGAGACCUACAUCCCAGGCAUGGCUCUGCUCCUGGGCUUCAACCAGGAGCACCAGAAGAACCCAUGCAGGAAGUGUCCGCUUCCAUCGUCGUCUCCUCGGCAGACAGCGUGGACGUGAGGGUGCAGUUACCAGAGUACACCGUCUACCGCCAAGCCAUCUCCGUGACGCUGCCAGCGACCAGUCUUCUGGCAGUCCAGCACAACACCACCUGGGACUACGCUGGAGACCAGUAAAAAGCAUAGAAAGAUGACAAGAAUGUUCCAGAAGACACAACAAAUGUUAUUAAAGAUGUAUCAAUAAUCCUCCUGAUUUAUUGAUUCAUGAUGUUUUCAACAUCUCUGGAGAAAAUCCUGCUGAUGCUCGUCAUGAGAAAAGAAAAGAAAAGAUGUUGAAACGUGUUUCCUUUCUUCCCUCAAGACAAACACACACAUGCGUUCAAAAGUGAGGCAAUAAAAAGUAGAAAAAGCAAUGUAUGUGAUAUAUGACAUCUAU